rnacentral:rRNA from 1 species
AACAGGAUUAGAUACCCUGGUAGUCCACGCCGUAAACGAUGUCGACUUGGAGGUUGUGCCCUUGAGGCGUGGCUUCCGGAGCUAACGCGUUAAGUCGACCGCCUGGGGAGUACGGCCGCAAGGUUAAAACUCAAAUGAAUUGACGGGGGCCCGCACAAGCGGUGGAGCAUGUGGUUUAAUUCGAUGCAACGCGAAGAACCUUACCUACUCUUGACAUCCAGAGAACUUUCCAGAGAUGGAUUGGUGCCUUCGGGAACUCUGAGACAGGUGCUGCAUGGCUGUCGUCAGCUCGUGUUGUGAAAUGUUGGGUUAAGUCCCGCAACGAGCGCAACCCUUAUCCUUUGUUGCCAGCGGUCCGGCCGGGAACUCAAAGGAGACUGCCAGUGAUAAACUGGAGGGAGGCGGGGAUGACGUCAAGUCAUCAUGGCCCUUACGAGUAGGGCUACACACGUGCUACAAUGGCGCAUACAAAGAGAAGCGACCUCGCGAGAGCAAGCGGACCUCAUAAAGUGCGUCGUAGUCCGGAUUGGAGUCUGCAACUCGACUCCAUGAAGUCGGAAUCGCUAGUAAUCGUAGAUCAGAAUGCUACGGUGAAUACGUUCCCGGGCCUUGUACACACCGCCCGUCACACCAUGGGAGUGGGUUGCAAAAGAAGUAGGUAGCUUAACCUUCGGGAGGGCGCUUACCACUUUGUGAUUCAUGACUGGGGUGAAGUCGUAACAAGGUAACC